UAAGUAAUAAGAACAUUCGAUCUUGGGGGGUUAGGUUAAGUGAACGAAUGAUGUGGGACCACGUGUAUUUUGGCGAGGCGGUGCCGCGCCCUCCGUUGAAAAGCUUCACUGGCCACGUUGGCGUUGCCGACGUUUCAACGCAGGCAGCUAUGGCUAUGCGCCAGCCCCUAUGGUAUCAUCAUCAUUCAUGCUUGUUUUCGUUCUCCAAUUUACAUGGUAAUCAAAUCAAAUGCUCUGUUAGCUUUAGGUGGUGAUGGUGGUGGUGGCAACUGCAAGUGCGAGAGGCGUGCCUCCCAAGAGGCGCCACGUCAUCACCAGCACCAGCGGCAGUAGAUUCUUCAGCUGGAAGCUCCUCAUCCUGCUCUGCGUUUCACUCUCCUGCCUCGUCGUUUUGGCCUCUCUAUUUUCUCUUCACUCCUCUUACCUCUCCAACGCUGAUAGCUCCAACCACUUCAAGGUAACGCGAUCAACGGUUUCUAGAACCUUCCACGGCCCCCCUAAGAUCGCCUUCUUGUUCCUCGUUCGCCAAAACAUCCCCCUUGAUUUCCUCUGGCAUGUCUUCUUCAAGAACGGUAACGUUGCCAAGUUCUCGAUUUACGUUCAUUCGGCGCCAGGGUUCGUGUUGGAUGAGUCAACUACGAGGUCCAGCUUCUUCUAUGGUACACAAAUCUCCAAUGUCAUUCAGGUUUCAUGGGGAGAAUCAAGUAUGAUUCAGGCUGAAAGGUUGUUACUGGCGGCAGCACUAGAUGACCCUGCAAAUCAAAGAUUUGUUCUUCUCUCAGACAGCUGUGUUCCUCUAUACAACUUCUCGUAUGUGUAUAAUUAUGUCAUGGUUUCUCAAAGGAGCUUUGUGGACAGCUUUCUUGAUGUGAAGGAUGGCCGCUACAACCCAAAAAUGUCACCUAAAAUACCAAGGGAAAAAUGGCGUAAAGGGUCACAGAAAUCACCCACAACUCCACAAGCCAGAAGAGGGAUCUGGGAUCAGCAGUUCAGCACCGCCAUCGCCACCGCAUUCCGCAGCGACAGCAGCGACGGCGUUGAGAGCCGCAACCACCACCGCGUUUGGAAUUUGGAUGAGGAUGAUGAUGUAAUCCGCACACAGACUCCAACCGAGAGAAAAGCAAAACCAGCAAAUCUCUUCUGUCUUAUCUCCAAACUAAAUUGGAACGUAAUCGACACUCAGGUCAAACACUGAACACUCUAAACUUAUAAUAAAAAGUAAAAAAGAAAAGGGGAGAAAUUUCCCAUGGCAGAAAGAGUAGAGGGAUUCAACUUCGAGCAAAGGCAUGGGAGAAAGAGGGUAAGGGUGGCUCGCGUGUGGAAGACGAAGGAAGGAAAACACUACGUUGUGGAGUGGCGAGUCAGCAUCAGUCUCCUCUCUGAUUGUGUCAACUCAUAUCUCCGUGAUGAUAACUCCGAUAUCGUUGCCAUUGACACCAUGAAGAACACUUUAAAUUUUUAGUUCUGCUGGUUCAAUUACGGAUAGGAAGAAGAGGGCAUUGGUGUCAUUUCACAACAAAACUAGGGUUUUGAGAAACAGAAACGGAUCCCCUUAAAAUACCCUUCACUCCAAAUAAUUAGUUCUUUUGAUACCGCGGCUGCUACGAGUUGGAGCUUCCAUUGUCUCCAAAUCUCUCAAGAGCGCAAAUCUGCACCGCAACAAUGGCCACUUCCGCCGCCGCCACAACUGCCGCAGCGCCACGCCAGCUGUCACAGAAGGAGCAGGACAUCCAGAUGAUGCUUGCUGCUGAGGUCCACCUCGGAACCAAAAAUUGCGACUUCCAGAUGGAACGCUACGUCUUCAAACGCCGAAAUGAUGGUCAGUCUUCGUGAUCUUUUUCGUUUCUCCUUUUGGAUUUUGAGUCUGAAUAUUAUUGAAGAGUGUGUCGAUUAUGGCGAGUUUGAAGGGUAUUUUGCAAAAUGUUAUAUCUUAAAUUAUCAAUUUCAUAACUACAUCUGAAUUUCUAUCUAAUUUUUAUGCUUUAACGUGAUAACUUAAU